UAUUUAGUAUAUGGUCCCAAAAAAUAUAGAAUUGAAGGCAUGAGCGGGGCUUUUUUGUUUUUUUUGUUCUUUUACCAGAAAUUAAAGCGCCAAUUUCUUUUCUUUACCAAAAGCUAAAGCGCUAAUUUAUAUGUAUAUGCCGAAAGUGAAACUUAAAAAAAAUUUCUUUUCUUGACAUUAAACUAUCAGUAAUUAAACCCUAGAGCUACAGUAAUCACUCACAUACUUCCAAUUUCCACAUCGAUCUGCUCUACGAGACAGAAUUUUUCUCGUAGCUCUAACCAAAAUCGAGGAAUUCCAAGCUCUGCCUAAUCUCAACGAGAGAGAGUUUUUCUCGCAGCUCUAACCUAAAUCGACGAAUUCCAGUGUUCUAGGCUCAGACAUGACCCCACCUCUAGAGUUUGAUAGCAGAUCUUGAUCCAAGGAAUGACUUUCCUGCUUCAAUUUUCAGUGUGGGUACAAAUUCAACUAGUUCAAAUGAUACAAGUCCUGCGAGUCUUAUGAAUGACAGCUGGGAAAGUAAACUUCAUAAUUAAUUCUCUUUUUUGUAAAGUUUUUUACCAGGAGUAUUUAACAGGUAUUGAUGCAACUUUAUUUUGGAGAGUAUUAGCUUAACCUACAUAUACAAGGGAGUCUAGAAUGUCUUCUAUUGAGUACAUCUGAUAGGCAUUAGUAUUAUUAUUAUUUAUUGAACUAGUGCUAGUGUUGGGUGCUGCUAAUUGAUUACAAAGGAUAUGUUAUCAGUUCGUUGGAGUAUCACAUCUUCAGAGAUGCAUCUUGUGGUGGAUAUACCUUCAAGAUCUGAUUGUUGAAAAUAGCUCCCAAUUCUCAGUCAAGAUAGGUUACAAUUUCAACGAGGGGAGGUGGGGUCGUGGCAAAGUUAUGCGAAGGGAGCAGGUAGUGCAGUGCAACAGAACUUUACAAAUGAGUUUGCUUUAGUGUUGAGGCACUCUCUUAGCUUGACCAGGAGAAGAGGCCACAUAAAGGUCCCUCCUCAUCAUGUGGCUGCUAUCAUGUUAAGAUCAAGAGUCAGUCUUUUUAGAAGGACUUGUCUCAAAUCUCAACCAAAUAACUAUUUAUCAUAUCCGCUUCAUUGUAGAGGUCUUGAACUAUCAUUUAAUGUGGCUCUGAAUAGGCUUCCAACAAGUUCUGGUCCGUUCCUUCGUGGCCAACCUUGUUUGUCUAAUGCUUUAAUUGCUGCGCUCAAAAGAGCAAAAGCUCAUCAGAGGAGAGGCUGCAUAGAGCAACAACAGUAGCAGCCACCUCUUUUAGCCAUUAAGGUUGAGCCGUAGCAGCCCAUUUUGUCCAUUUUAGAUGACCCUAGUGAGUAGGGUUAUGAGGGAAGUUGGUUUCUCUAGCAUUGCUAUUAAAAACAAUAGAGGAAUCUACUUCUUCAGUCUUUCACUGCUACAAUAAUCCACACCUACCUCUAAUAAGAAAGUAGAGACUAUUCUUUUAUGUUAGUAUAAGUUGACUUGCUAUAUCAGACUAGAUUUUCCA